UCCGGAGGGAGACUAUGUGUGUCUGUGCGGGACUACUACUGCUACAAAUUUCAGAUGCGUCCCGGGAUAUUCAACCCAAUCCUCUAUGGUAAGCGUCUUUUCCAACAGUUUGCGGUAGACACAUACAUCAAGAUAGAGAACUCCCGGUUGGACUAUAUAUGGGGCCAUCAAGAUACGAUAAGGGCGGACCUAUACCAGGGCUUGGUGGACAGCUUACAUGUUGGUGAGGGUAGGGCAAAUGCUAUUGGAAAAGUGUUAUCUACAUCUUUUAUCGGUGGUCCACGGGACAAGAGGCGUCGCUACAUGGAUGCCAUGGCCUUAGUUCGAAAGUAUGGCAAGCCGGACGUCUUCCUCACAAUGACAUGCAACCCAAACUGGGAUGAGAUUAGGCAGGAACUCUACCCCGGUCAGACACCUCAGGAUCGUCCCGAUCUCGUUGUUCGUGUUUUUAGGGCAAAGUUGGAGGAACUCAAGAAUAAGUUUCUUCAGAAGGACAUCCUGGGCAAGGUGAGGGCUUAUGUUUAUGUGGUGGAAUUCCAGAAGAGGGGUCUGCCUCAUGCACACUUCCUUCUCAUCAUGGAGGGGUGGUACAAGCUCACAUGCCCCGAGCAAUAUGACCGUCUUAUCUCAGCCGAGCUCCCAAACAAGAAGAAGUACCCAGAAUUGUACAAGAUGGUCGUGAAGCAUAUGAUGCAUGGACCUUGUGGUGCUUUGAAUCGUCACUGCCCAUGCACAAAAGGCCGUCCUGCUUGCAAGAAUCACUAUCCUCGACCUUUCAAUGCGGCUACGUUGCAGGGUAAGGAUUCCUACCCGUUAUACAGACGACGUGAUGACGGUUCUAAAGCAAUGGUCCGAAAGGAAUGGCUGGAAAAUAGGUGGGUCGUCCCAUACAACCCGCACCUCCUGUGUUACUUCAAUUGUCACAUCAAUGUUGAGGCAUGUGGAAGCAUAAAGGUUGUUAAAUACAUGUUCAAGUACAUAUACAAGGGUCAUGAUUGA
rnacentral:rRNA from 1 species